GGGCUCGUAGCUCAACUGGCAGAGCAACCGGCUUUUAACCGGUAGGUUCAGGGUUCGAUUCCCUGCGAGCCCA
rnacentral:tRNA from 1 species